CACGAUGGGAACUCCUCAAUUUAUUUUUUUUAAAACCUGGAAAAAUAUUUAAUCUGUGGUCAAAUCAAAUUUUUAGAAAAAGCCCUGUACUAGUGCUAUGGCCAGCCAACUGGAGACAGAAUUGGGAUCAUGUCCAAGUAGGGAGGCUGAUGUUAUGGUCCAGGUGAGAGAUGAGAUGGUCCAAGCUCAGACAGUUCCAGUGAGUAUGGAGGCAGAGGACAGCUUUAGGAGGUAAUUAGUAAAUUGGGAUAACCCACUUGGCUAUAGAUGCAUGGAUAUUAAUGGAGAAAGACAAACUUAAAGGGAACAGAAGACCUUGAAGGUAUUUUUUUAUUUAGACAGGAACUACCUCUUUCUCAGAGAGGCAGCAUUCAGAGAGUAUGGCUACUUUGGGAGUGAGUUCUGGGUGGAGCCUGACUUGGGAGUUUGCAUGAGGCUCCCAGAAGCUUGGGUGCUGAGGAGGAUGCAAUAAAAAGAGGCAGAAGAGAAGGAAGCCCUGAAUGAAGAAUGGAGAGGAAUGCCCCUACAUUUUGUCACAGAUCAACCCUAGGUGGCCCUUCAGAUAAGACUUGAUAACAAUAGUAAUAAUAAAAAUAACAGCCAUAAACUAUAUAGCUCUAAGCACUUUCGGUGUAUGAGCUCAUUGAAGGAUCAUAACAACUCUAUGAGGAAACUGAGUCUGGGGGGUCAAUAACUUGUCUAAGGGAGAGUUAGUAAGGAGCAGAGCUUUGAACCUAGGCAACCAGAUUCCAGGGGCCACAAACUGAUCACUCAGCUGCUCAUUGGUCAGUUAGAGAGGACAUGAGUCCAUCAAACCCUGGAUUAGUUCUGUUUCUUUAUCUCAAAGUGAGUCACUCCUAUUCUAUCUGUACUUUAGAGAGAGGGAAGGAUGUUGUCCUUGUGUCUGGGAAUUCAGGUGAGAGUGAGUAUGUGAGGAUGGAGCUCAAGAUGAAGCGAAGGGUCCUAGGAUGCCCGCCACCCUGGCUGGACCUCUGUGGGAUGACCUGAUCCCAUGUGAGGAAAUGCUGUCUGGUCAGAUCUAAAGAUGAUGUUAUGGAACCUGUGUCUUUCCUCAUAACAGCCCACUCCUGGAAAUGGUGGGCAGCCAAGAUGACAAAGGAGAAGAUUAGAGGCAAUGGAGACCUCACCAAGCCAUGGACCUGGAAGAUGAAAAGUCCUGCUCUCUCUCUCAUUCUCCAUGUGUGGGGACGGGUGUCAAGCAUCCUGAAAAAGACCCGAGGACCGGGUGGUGGAACGCUGCUGCAGACCUGGACUAUUUUCACUGGAUUCUGAGUGAGCGAGUGCAGAGCUCAAACUCUCAACUUCGAAGGAGAGGAUGUAGGCCUGCGUGCGGUUGCUGAUUUCUCUGGGAGCUUCAUGAAGCUCAUUCUGGGAAAGAUGAAAAAAACCUGGAAGCCGGAAUCAACUGCUUCUAGAACUGCUGCUGCCAG